GAGGGCGAAGUGCUGCCCCUGCGCGAUGGAGUGACGCGAAAGGGAGCGGUGGCGGGAGGGCAGGGCCAUCCCAAUCGUCUCUUCUGCGCCUGCGCCUCCAGCCCCGCAAGAGGAUUCCAUUGGGGCUCAGCUGUGGCUUGUAAACAAUCCUGGAGCUGGAAAAAUGGUCCUCGAUCCCAAAAGCUUGGCAUCUUUGCCCUACAGCAUGACAUACCCCCCUCCAUCUGUCAUUUGUGAGUGCUGGAGGAAAAAUGAACAGCAUACUAAAGAGACUAAGACAUAGAGCAAUGGAUGCAAACUGCAGGAAGAGAUUCCACCUAAACAUUAGGAAUAACUUUCUGAUGAGGCUGGCAAGAGACAAAUGAAGAAACUUUUGAUGUGGAAAGGUACAUUCAGCAAAGUUACAGCUUUACUUUUGCAUCUCUAGAAACACACACCUGCUGGAAGCGAAAUGAUUCUGAUCUCCUUUUCUGGUUUAAUUGCCAUUCCUUGAAACGCAGAACAGCUUCAUCUACAGAAAGCAUUCCCAGCUUCACUUGCUCCUGUAAGGUUAUUAAAAACCUUUGGCCAGGGGUUUUCAUCCCAGCAAAUGGAUCAUAUAUACUACUCGAAGAUGACUGGUUAGAGGAUGUAUGAUGUACUACCUCUGUGAAGGGAGAAAAAAAUUAGAUAAGAAUUUAAAAAAAAAAUUUACACUUCUGGGCAUAUGUAAUUAAAAGGCUUAACCAAAGGUGUCUUACCAAGAACUAUUGUAGUGCAACGGACAAUCUGUAAUGUGUCCUAAAGAAGGGUGACCAAUGUGGUAAAGGAUCAGGUCACCAAAAGUGCAUCUAUGGCACCAUCUACACUGCUAUAUAAUCCAGUUUCUGAAUGCAGAUUAACUGCAUUGAACUGGAUUAUAUAGCAGUAGUAGUUCAACCUAUAUUGUAGAAUUAAUGCACUUUACUUUCCAUGGCUCAACGUUAUGGAAUCCUGAAGUUUGUAGUUUGGUGGGGCACCAGGCUAAAGACUUCAUAAAACUACAACGUUCUUCAUUUUUAAGUGUUCAUUAUCACUUGUAAAGAUUGAGAAUAAUAAAUACUUCUUUGCAUGA